UGGAAUUAGAAUUUAAGGUAAGACUUCUACGGGGAUGGAAUUAGAAUUUAAGGUAAGACAUCUACGGGGAUGGAAUUAGAAUUUAAGGUAAGACUUCUAUGGGGAUGGAAUUAGAAUUUAAGGUAAGACAUCUACGGGGA